rfam:Rattus norvegicus chromosome 10, whole genome shotgun sequence.
GGGGAUUUAGCUCAGCGGUAGAGCGCUUGCCUAGCAAGUGCAAGGCCCUGGGUUCGGUCCCCAGCUCCA